UACGUAGGGUGCAAGCGUUGUCCGGAUUUAUUGGGCGUAAAGAGCUCGUAGGCGGUUUGUCGCGUCGGAUGUGAAAACCCAGGGCUCAACCCUGGGCCUGCAUUCGAUACGGGCAAACUAGAGUAUGGCAGGGGAGACUGGAAUUCCUGGUGUAGCGGUGAAAUGCGCAGAUAUCAGGAGGAACACCGGUGGCGAAGGCGGGUCUCUGGGCCGAUAUUGACGCUGAGGAGCGAAAGCGUGGGGAGCGAACAGG
rnacentral:rRNA from 1 species